ensembl:lncRNA
GUUUAGGAAUGAAUACUUUAGUGUAUUCACUUUACACAGGCCUGUACCUGUUUGCUUCUUUACCCCUGCGAGGUUCCCCCUCCCUGGGGCUCCUGGGAACUCCUCAGAUGGGCUACCUGGUAAUUAUUCCAGCAUGAGCAUGGAGAGAAGGGGGGCAGGCAUCUGGUGGAUUGACUGCAGGGCAUGUGGAUCAGGCAAAAAGCCAGUGGAAUCAGGUGAGGUUGCUGCCGUGACCUCCUUCAGGUCGACCGUCCUACUCAGCAGAGACCAGACCUGCCCCUUGUCUUCCAGCCCUGUGUCUGGUGUGUUUUCUCAGCUCCUCAGUGGGACAAGAAAGGACCGAGCCUGCCAGAACCAAGACUCAUUCCAGCCUGGGCCACAACCCCUGCUGAGGUGCCUAGGAGGCUGCACUCUCAGGAUGGAGACUUGGAAUUGGGGACCCCAUCACCAGGACCCCUGGCGACUAGGGUACGAGGACAAUUUACCUGUUGCAGAUGGCUUCUUGAACGUUGGCUGUGUUUGGCAUUUGUGUUUGAAAUACCAGCCCCGGGGUGUUUCCUGCGGGCAGUUGUCAUUAAGAGCCCCCCAGGACUUGUGAGUCGGAGGUGUGAGUCAGCACUGGUAGUCAAGUUAUAGUUCCAGGAAAUGUGCACAGCGUGACAAUCCUUCUUCAGGCCCACCUCUCGUUCCCGGGGCUGUAAGAUCCUUGGGGGAGAUUGGAUUGCCAAGCUGUGAAUUUGAGUGGAAUGUGCCUGAGGAAACACUCAAGGGUUUGUGUCUCACUGCUUCUUCCCCCUGAAGCUUCACCACCACCCGCUCCGGGCCGCUCCCAACCUGAACCACAAGCCGUGCUGAGCGGGCCUAGGAGGCUGCACUCUCAGGAAGGAGGCUUGAACUGGGGACCCCAUCACCAGGACCCCUGGCGACUAGGUGAGUGUUACAAGGUCCUGAAGGCAGAGGGUGUGCCCCCAUCCUUUGGGUGCACGAGGGCGUGGUCCAGACUGAGCCAACCAGACAGUGCAGGUGUACUCGGGCUCUAAAUUAAGGGCCCCCUCUCCGGUGCCACGCCCCCAUCCCAGUCAUGGGAACCAAGCCUGCUCAGGUUCCAGGGAAGGGUAGCAGCCCAAGCCAGGGAGGCUGGAAGGAAAGAAAUAGAUAUUGCUGUUAUUUCUUUUCAUUUUCUUGAAUCUCCAAUUUUGUGCUUGUCAGCAUCCAGUCGCCUGAUUCCAUUAUGACAUGUCCAUACAGCAUCUCUCUUCUUUGGGGGGAUUCUUUGCCAUAGAGGUUAUUGCAGAAGGCUGAACCAUGUUCACCAUGAACAUGCUGAAACUCAUGUCCUGGGAUGCAACCCCGCUGAGUUGCCUAGGAGGCCGCCCUCUCAGGGUGGAGACUUGAACUGGGGACCCCAUCAGCAGGACCCCUGGCAACGAGGUGUGUUUUCUGAAGUCCUCAAAGUCAAAGGGUGUGCCCCCAUCCUUUGGUCACACGAGGGAGUGUGGUCACAGACUGAGCCAGCUGGACGGUGCAGGUGUGCUAGGGCUCUAAGCUAAGGGCCCCCCUCCCAGUAUCACGACCGCACCCCUGGUGGGGGCUUCCCUGGUAGCUCAGAUGUUAAUGAACCUGUCUGUAAUGUAGGAUACCAGGGUUCAAUAUGUUGGUUGGGAAGAACCCCUGGAGAAGGGAAUGGCUACUUAAUCCAUUAUUCAUGCCUAGAGAAUUCCAUGGAGAGAGGAGCCUGGCAGACUGCAGUCCUCAGAGUUGCAAAGAGUCUAACAAACACUUCUACUUUCAGAUUUCUAGCAUCAUGACCAAACACAGUCCAGCCAUGGGAACAAAGCCUCCUCAGGCUCCAGGGACGGGUUAGCAGCCCAAGUCAGGGAGGUCACAGGGAAUGAAAUAGAUAUUUCUUGUAUUUCUUUUUAUUUUCUCUCAUUUAGAUGCUAUGCUAGAUACAGUUGAUUUGCAGUUUUGUACUUUUCAUCAGUAUACGGCUGCUUGAAUCAGUUAUGACAUAUACACACAGGAUAUCUUUCCUUUUUGGAAUCUGUUUUCCAUACAGCUUAUUGCAGAAGGUCAUGAAAAGUUCCCCGUGCUGAACAUCAGAAUCUUCUGCAGUAUCUAUCAGAGAUACAGAUUUUAUGUGAAUGUGGAAGGAAGGAGGAAAUGAGAUUAUUCUUGUGGAUUAUCCAUACAUAUAUAGAUCUUGGUGUAUAUGUUGGAGUGAUGGAUUUGUUUGUAUAUGUUAGUCCCAACCUCCUGCAUAUCAUACUGGCCUUUUACUUUUUUUUUUAUAUAUAUAAUUCUUUGAUUUCUCAGCUCCUUUUAUCUCAUCUAAAUUUUUCCAGGAAUGUUCUUUAUCUGCUAGUUUCUUUCUUUGUCUAGCACAUUUCACUUGGCAUAUGAUCCUUCAAGGUCCAACCUUGUAGAGAAGAGUGGAAAGUAUCAUAAUUUCAGUAAUGCUUUUUAUGACUGAGUAAUAGUCCACUGUAUAUAUGUACCACAUCUUGUUUAAGCUUUAGCUGUGGGUGGAAAUUUUGUGGUUCCUGCCUUGCCUAUUGGAAGCUGUGCAACAGUGAACAGUGGGGUGCAUGUCUCUCUAUGAAUGGUGGUUUUCUUGGGAUUUAGAACUGCUCAUGUUGUACCUUGAAGCUUCCAGGCAUAUGCUCGCUUCGUGUACAAAUAUGAGGCCUCUGCUUAGAGGUUCAGCUCGCUUAUAACUAUGAGGUCUGUAGGUAGACUCUCAGCUCGUGGACAACAAUGAUGCUUUAUUCAGACUGUCAGCUCAUGUGUAAGUUUGAGGCCUCUAGGCACACCCUCAGAUCAUCUGUCCAAUGAGGCUUCUAGGCAGAAGUUCAGCUCGUGUAUUACUUUGAGGCCACUAGGCAUAUCCUCAGCUCGUGUAUAAAUACGAGGCCACAGAGAAGAUGCUAAGAUGGUGUAUAACUAUGAGGCCUCUCGGCAGAUGCUCAGCUUGUGUACAACUAUGAGGACUCAGGCUGGUGCUCAGCUCCUGUAUAACUAUGAGGCCUCUGUGAAGACGCUCAGCUGGUGUGUAACUAUGAGCCCCAAGGAAGAGCCUCAGCUGGUGUGUAACUGUGAGGCUUCCAGGCAGACACUCAGCUCUUUUGGGUCUAUGAGGCCUCUGUGCAGACACUCACUAGUAUCUGUCUAGAGGCUUCAAGACACAUAAUCAUGUAUAAAUAUGAUUUAUACAAUCAUAUUUAUUCAAUGCAGACACUCAGCUCGUGUACAAUUAUGAGGCCUCUAGGCAGACGCUCAGCUACUGAGGAUCUAUGAAGCCUAGAGCCUCUGUGCAGACGCUCAGCUUGUUUCUGUCUAGAGGCCUCAAGGAGUCGCUCAUCUCCUGUGUAAUUAUGAGGCCUCUACACAGAAGCUCGUCUCCUGUGUUCCUGUGAGGCCUCUAGGCAGACUCUUAGAUCCUGUGAGCCAAUGAGGCAGACGUUCAGCAUGUGCAUAACUAUCAGGUCUCUAGUAGAUGCUCAGCUUGUGUGUAACUAUGAGGACUCAGAUCAGACACUCAGCUCCUGUGUUUCUAUGAGGGCUCUAGGCUGAUGCUCAGCUCAGGUCUGUCUAGAGGCCUCAGACAGACUCCCACGUGUGAAUAAAAAGAGGCCUCUAGGCAGACGCUCUCAUGUGCCUGUCUGGAGCUUCAAGGAAGAUGCUCAGCUCCUAUAUAACUACGAGGCCUGAGGGCAGACUCUCAGCUGGUGUAUAACUCAGAGGCCUCUAGGGAGACGCUCAUCUUCUGUGUUCCUAUGAGGCCUCUAGACAGGUGUGCACCUCAUGUCUGUCAGGAGGCCUCAAGGCAGAUGCUCAGCUUCUGUGGGACCGUGAGGGUUCUAGGCAGAUGCUCAGCUCCUGUAUAAC